GCCCAUGGUGUGCACCACUUCUCUCUCCCAGAAUUCUGCCUUCCCAGGAAUGUCUCCCAUAACCAACACUGGCUGCAAGAGAACUGACUGGGCUCUCCCCUGUGGUUAUGGGCUGUCAUUGGCUGGGUACACUGGAGACUCAUCUGGAGUGCUUUGUGGGUAUCAGCAUUUUUUAUACUUGGUGCAUUGCUUCCAAGCUUGUACCAGGAUUUUCUUCUGUGACGGAAAAAGCAUUAAGCAUGAUUAUGUGAAGAAGAACUGCAUGCUGGAGUGGAGUGGAGUGCUUCAUUUACCAGAUGAUUUCACUGUGACAUUCUGUUCCAAUACAGCAUCCC